UACGAAGGGGGGCGAGCGUUGUUCGGAAUUACUGGGCGUAAAGGGCGCGUAGGCGGCGACCCAAGUCAGAUGUGAAAGUCCUGGGCUUAACCUGGGGACUGCAUUUGAUACUGGGUUGCUUGAAUUCGGGAGAGGAUAGCGGAAUUCCCAGUGUAGAGGUGAAAUUCGUAGAUAUUGGGAAGAACACCGGUGGCGAAGGCGGCUAUCUGGACCGACAUUGACGCUGAGGCGCGAAAGCGUGGGGAGCGAACAGG
rnacentral:rRNA from 1 species